rnacentral:rRNA from 1 species
AUUGAACGCUGGCGGCAGGCCUAAUACAUGCAAGUCGAACGGUAACAUAAAAGAAGCUUGCUUCUUUUGAUGACGAGUGGCGGACGGGUGAGUAAUAUUUGGGAAACUACCUGAUAGAGGGGGACAACAGUUGGAAACGACUGCUAAUACCGCAUAUAGCCUAAGGGUGAAAGCAGCAAUGCGCUAUCAGAUGUGCCCAAACGGGAUUAGCUAGUAGGUGAGGUAAAGGCUCACCUAGGCGACGAUCUCUAGCUGGUCUGAGAGGGUGACCGGCCACAUUGGGACUGAGACACGGCCCAAACUCCUACGGGAGGCAGCAGUGGGGAAUAUUGCACAAUGGGGGAAACCCUGAUGCAGCGACGCCGCGUGAGUGAAGAAGUAUUUCGGUAUGUAAAGCUCUAUCAGCAGGGAAGAAAAUGACGGUACCUGACUAAGAAGCCCCGGNUAACUACGUG